rnacentral:rRNA from 1 species
GCAGGCUGCAACUCGCCUGCAUGAAGUUGGAAUUGCUAGUAAUCGCGAAUCAGAAUGUCGCGGUGAAUACGUUCCCGGGCCUUGUACACACCGCCCGUCACACCAUGAGAGUCGAUAACACCCGAAGCCUGUGAGCUAACCGUAAGGAGGCAGCAGUCGAAGGUGGGGUUGAUGAUUGGGGUGAAGUCGUAACAAGGUACC